rnacentral:rRNA from 1 species
UACGUAGGGGCCUAGCGUUAUCCGGAAUUAUUGGGCGUAAAGAGCUCGUAGGCGGUUUGUCGCGUCUGCCGUGAAAGUCCGGGGCUCAACUCCGGAUCUGCGGUGGGUACGGGCAGACUAGAGUGAUGUAGGGGAGACUGGAAUUCCUGGUGUAGCGGUGAAAUGCGCAGAUAUCAGGAGGAACACCGAUGGCGAAGGCAGGUCUCUGGGCAUUAACUGACGCUGAGGAGCGAAAGCAUGGGGAGCGAACAGG